AAAGUUUGACAAUGGGCGAAAGCCUGAUCCAGCCAUGCCGCGUGCAUGAGGAAGGCCUNCGGGUGNGNAACUGCUCUUGUUCGGCNAGGAAAGCUUUGGGUUAAUCCCCUGGAGUCAUGACGGCACCGUACGAACAAGCACCGGCUGACUACGUGCCAGCAGCCGCGGUAAUACGGAGGGUGCAACCGUUAGUCGGAAUUACUGGGCGUAAAGCGUGCGCAGGCGGGUUUGUAAGACAGGGGGUAAAUCCCCGGGCUCAACCCGGGGACUGCCUUUGUAACUUCAAGGCUAGAGUACGGCAGAGGGUGGUGGAAUUCCGGGUGUAGGAGUGAAAUGCGUAGAUAUGCGGAGGAACACCGAUGGCGAAGGCAACCCCCUGGGCCUGUACUGACGCUCAUGCACGAAAGCGUGGGGAGCAAACAG
rnacentral:rRNA from 1 species